CCUACGGGAGGCAGCAGUGGGGAAUAUUGGGCAAUGGGCGCAAGCCUGACCCAGCAACGCCGCGUGAAGGAAGAAGGCUUUCGGGUUGUAAACUUCUUUUGUCAGGGACGAAGCAAGUGACGGUACCCUACGAAUAAGCCACGGCUAACUACGUGCCAGCAGCCGCAGUAAUACGUAGGUGGCAAGCGUGAUCCGGAUGUACUGGGUGUAAAGGGCGUGUAGGCGGGACUGCAAGUCAGAUGUGAAAACCACGGGCUCAACCUGUGGCCUGCAUUUGAAACUGUAGUUCUUGAGUACUGGAGAGGCAGGCGGAAUUCCUAGUGUAGCGGUGAAAUGCGUAGAUAUUAGGAGGAACACCAGUGGCGAAGGCGGUCUGCUGGACAGCAACUGACGCUGAGGCGCGAAAGCGUGGGGAGCAAACAGGAUUAGAUACCCUGGUAGUC
rnacentral:rRNA from 1 species